rnacentral:antisense_RNA from 26 species
UAUUAUGGUAGUCCAGGCGGGGCAGCUUUCGGGCUGGCCGGUAUCCUUCAGAGCCGGUAUUCCUACCCCCGUCUGGGCUACCACCCAU